GACGAACGCUGGCGGCGUGCCUAAUACAUGCAAGUAGAACGCACAGUUUAUACCGUAGCUUGCUACACCAUAGACUGUGAGUUGCGAACGGGUAAGUAACGCGUAGGUAACCUGCCUGGUAGCGGGGGAUAACUAUUGGAAACGAUAGCUAAUACCGCAUAAUAUUGAUUAUUGCAUGAUAAUUAAUUGAAAGGUGCAAUUGCACCACUACCAGAUGGACCUGCGUUGUAUUAGCUAGUAGGGGAGGUAACGGCUCACCUAGGCGACGAUACAUAGCCGACCUGAGAGGGUGAUCGGCCACACUGGGACUGAGACACGGCCCAGACUCCUACGGGAGGCAGCAGUAGGGAAUCUUCGGCAAUGGACGAAAGUCUGACCGAGCAACGCCGCGUGAGUGAAGAAGGUUUUCGGAUCGUAAAGCUCUGUUGUAAGAGAAGAACGGGUGUGAGAGUGGAAAGUUCACACUGUGACGGUAUCUUACCAGAAAGGGACGGCUAACUACGUG
rnacentral:rRNA from 1 species